rnacentral:rRNA from 1 species
UUAAGUGAUUAAGCGUACAAGGUGGAUGCCUUGGCAAUCAGAGGCGAAGAAGGACGUGCUAAUCUGCGAAAAGCUUGGAUGAGUCGAUAAGAGGCGUUUAAUCCAAGAUAUCCGAAUGGGGAAACCCAGUAGAUGAAGAAUCUACUAUCAACAAGUGAAUUCAUAGCUUGUUGAGGCAAACCGGGAGAACUGAAACAUCUAAGUACCCCGAGGAAAAGAAAUCAACCGAGAUUUCGUCAGUAGCGGCGAGCGAAAGCGAAAGAGCCAGUAAGUGAUAGCAGUAUAGUGAGGAGAAUGUGUUGGGAAGCACAAUCAAAGAGGGUGAUAAUCCCGUAUCUAAAAACCAUAUUGUGGUACUAAGCUAACGAGAAGUAGGGCGGGACACGUGAUAUCCUGUUUGAAGAAGGGGGGACCAUCCUCCAAGGCUAAAUACUCCUGAUUGACCGAUAGUGAACCAGUACUGUGAAGGAAAGGCGAAAAGAACCCCGGUGAGGGGAGUGAAAUAGAACCUGAAACCUUGUACGUACAAGCAGUGGGAGCCCCAUCACUUAAUCCGAUUGGAAGGUGAUGAAAAGCAACCGCACUUAAACAAUGGUAAGAGGAGCGAAGCGAGUCAAACCACCCAAAAGAAGCAGUGGGAUUAAGUGAUGGGGUGACUGCGUACCUUUUGUAUAAUGGGUCAGCGACUUAUAUUUUGUAGCGAGGUUAACCGAAUAGGGGAGCCGAAGGGAAACCGAGUCUUAACUGGGCGAAUAGUUGCAAGGUAUAGACCCGAAACCCGGUGAUCUAGCCAUGGGCAGGUUGAAGGUUGGGUAACACUAACUGGAGGACCGAACCGACUAAUGUUGAAAAAUUAGCGGAUGACUUGUGGCUGGGGGUGAAAGGCCAAUCAAACCGGGAGAUAGCUGGUUCUCCCCGAAAUCUAUUUAGGUAGAGCCUUGAGGUGACACCUUUGGGGGUAGAGCACUGUUUCGGCUAGGGGGCCAUCCCGGCUUACCAACCCGAUGCAAACUACGAAUACCAAAGAGUGAUACUCAGGAGACACACGGCGGGUGCUAACGUCCGUCGUGGAGAGGGAAACAACCCAGACCGCCAGCUAAGGUCCCCAAGUCUAUAUUAAGUGGGAAACGAAGUGGGAAGGCUUAGACAGCUAGGAUGUUGGCUUAGAAGCAGCCAUCAUUUAAAGAAAGCGUAAUAGCUCACUAGUCGAGUCGGCCUGCGCGGAAGAUGUAACGGGGCUGAAAUAUAGCACCGAAGCUGCGGCAUCAGAAUUUAUUCUGUUGGGUAGGGGAGCGUUGUGUAAGCGGAAGAAGGUUCAUCGAGAGGUGGGCUGGACGUAUCACAAGUGCGAAUGCUGACAUAAGUAACGAUAAAACGGGUGAAAAACCCGUUCGCCGGAAGACCAAGGGUUCCUGUCCAACGUUAAUCGGGGCAGGGUGAGUCGGCUCCUAAGGCGAGGCUGAAAAGCGUAGUCGAUGGGAAACAGGUUAAUAUUCCUGUACUUGGUAAAGCUGCGAUGUGGGGACGGAGUAGGUUAGGUUAUCGCACUGUUGGAUAUGUGCGUUUAAGUUGGUAGGUGGGAAGUUUAGGCAAAUCCGGGCUUCCUUAACACAGAGAGAUGAUGACGAGGCUCUACGGAGCUGAAGUAACUGAUACCACACUUCCAGGAAAAGCCACUAAGCGAAAGGCUUUACUAAACCGUACUGAAAACCGACACAGGUGGUCAGGUAGAGAAUACUCAGGCGCUUGAGAGAACUCGGGUGAAGGAACUAGGCAAAAUAGCACCGUAACUUCGGGAGAAGGUGCGCCGGCGUAGAUUGUAAGGGCUAGCCCCUGAAGGUUGAACCGGUCGAAGAUACCAGCUGGCUGCAACUGUUUAUUAAAAACACAGCACUCUGCAAACACGAAAGUGGACGUAUAGGGUGUGAUGCCUGCCCGGUGCUGGAAGGUUAAUUGAUGGUGUAAUCGCAAGAGAAGCACCUGAUCGAAGCCCCAGUAAACGGCGGCCGUAACUAUAACGGUCCUAAGGUAGCGAAAUUCCUUGUCGGGUAAGUUCCGACCUGCACGAAUGGCAUAAUGAUGGCCAGGCUGUCUCCACCCGAGACUCAGUGAAAUUGAAAUCGCCGUGAAGAUGCGGUGUACCCGCGGCUAGACGGAAAGACCCCGUGAACCUUUACUAUAGCUUGACACUGAACAUUGAAUUUUGAUGUGUAGGAUAGGUGGGAGCCUUUGAAGCAGUGACGCCAGUCAUUGUGGAGGCGACCUUGAAAUACCACCCUUUAACGUUUGAUGUUCUAACGAAGAUGACGAAACGUGGUCUCGGACAGUGUCUGGUGGGUAGUUUGACUGGGGCGGUCUCCUCCCAAAGCGUAACGGAGGAGCACGAAGGUUUGCUAAUCACGGUCGGACAUCGUGAGGUUAGUGCAAUGGUAUAAGCAAGCUUAACUGCGAGACAGACAAGUCGAGCAGGUACGAAAGUAGGUCAUAGUGAUCCGGUGGUUCUGAAUGGAAGGGCCAUCGCUCAACGGAUAAAAGGUACUCCGGGGAUAACAGGCUGAUACCGCCCAAGAGUUCAUAUCGACGGCGGUGUUUGGCACCUCGAUGUCGGCUCAUCACAUCCUGGGGCUGAAGUAGGUCCCAAGGGUAUGGCUGUUCGCCAUUUAAAGUGGUACGCGAGCUGGGUUUAGAACGUCGUGAGACAGUUCGGUCCCUAUCUGCCGUGGGCGUAGGAGAAUUGGUUGGGGCUGCUCCUAGUACGAGAGGACCGGAGUGGACGCACCACUGGUGUUCCGGUUGUGUCGCCAGACGCAUUGCCGGGUAGCUAAGUGCGGAAGAGAUAAGUGCUGAAAGCAUCUAAGCACGAAACUUGCCAAGAGAUGAGUUCUCCCAAUCAAAGAGAUUGUAAGGGUUGUUGUAGACUACGACGUAGAUAGGUCUGGUGUGUAAGUGUAGUGAUACAUUGAGCUAACAGAUACUAAUUGCCCGAGAGGCUUAACU